rnacentral:rRNA from 1 species
AUUGAACGCUGGCGGCAGGCUUAACACAUGCAAGUCGAGCGAGCGGCGGACGGGUGAGUAAUGUCUGGGAAACUGCCUGAUGGAGGGGGAUAACUACUGGAAACGGUAGCUAAUACCGCAUACCAUCAGAUGUGCCCAGAUGGGAUUAGCUAGUAGGUGGGGUAAGGGCUCACCUAGGCGACGAUCCCUAGCUGGUCUGAGAGGAUGACCAGCCAAACGGGAAUGAAGACACGGUCCAGAUCCCUACGGGGGGCAGCGUGGGGGAUUAUUGCACAAUGGGCGCAAGCCUGAUGCAGCCAGGCGGGGGGUGGGAAGAAGGCCUUCGGGUUGUAAAGCACUUUCAGCGAGGAGGCGUUACUCGAAGAAGAAGCACCGGCUAACUCCGUGCCAGCAGCCGCGGUAAAC